rnacentral:rRNA from 1 species
GCUGGCGGCGUGCCUAACACAUGCAAGUCGAACGCGAAAGCCCCGCAAGGGGUUAGUAGAGUGGCAAACGGGUGAGUAACACGUGGGUGACCUGCCUCAGAGUGGGGGAUAACGACCCGAAAGGGUCGCUAAUACCGCAUAACAUCCUGCCUUUGGAUAGGUGGAGAUCAAAGCCGGGGAUCGCAAGACCCGGCGCUUGGAGAGGGGCCCGCGGCCGAUUAGCUAGUUGGUGAGGUAAUGGCUCACCAAGGCAACGAUCGGUAUCCGGCCUGAGAGGGCGGACGGACACACUGGGACUGAGACACGGCCCAGACUCCUACGGGAGGCAGCAGUGGGGAAUUGUUCGCAAUGGGCGCAAGCCUGACGACGCAACGCCGCGUGGAGGACGAAGAUCUUCGGGUCGUAAACUCCUUUCGAUCGGGAAGAACGCCUUCCGGGUGAACAAUNCGGAGGGGUGACGGUACCGAGAGAAGAAGCCCCGGCUAACUCCGUGCCAGCACCCGCGGUAAUACCGGGGGGGCAAGCGUUGUUC